CUAGAUGCAAUGAGUAAAGCAUAGUCU
rnacentral:piRNA from 1 species